rnacentral:rRNA from 1 species
CUAGGAAUCUUGGGAAUGGGCGAAAGCCUGACCCAGCAACGCCGCGUGGGCGAUGAAGGCCUUAGGGUCGUAAAGCCCUUUUGCAGGGGAAGAUAGUGACAGUACCCUGCGAAUAAGCCACGGCUAACUACGUGCCAGCAGCCGCGGUAAUACGUAGGUGGCAAGCGUUGUCCGGAUUUACUGGGCGUAAAGGGCGUGCAGGCGGUUUGUUAAGUCUAGGGUGAAAGCUCCCGGCUCAACUGGGAGAGGUCCUUGGAUACUGGCAGACUUGAGGAGGGUAGAGGAGAGUGGAAUUCCCGGUGUAGUGGUGAUAUGCGUAGAUAUCGGGAGAAACACCAGUGGCGAAGGCGGCUCUCUGGGCCCUACCUGACGCUGAGACGCGAAAGCGUGGGGAGCGAACCGGAUUAGAUACCCGGGUAGUCCACGCCGUAAACUAUGGACACUAGGUGUGGGGGGUAUCGACCCCUCCGUGCCGAAGCUAACGCAAUAAGUGUCCGCCU